AAUUAUCCUUAUCAGAUGAGCUAUUUUCUUUCAUAUCAUACUUUUUCUCCCCACCUCUUCUCUUGAUGAGCAGGGAGUGAGAAAGCAGAUGUAGUGGAGUUUAGCCAUCCAUCACAAUGGAAGCACCACAGCCCUCCAUAUGUAGGACUUUUCUGGGUUGUUCCUGUGUGCUUCCUGUGACCUCAGCCCUCACUGAACAGGGCACCUGCCACCACAGUUCUGCCUGUGUGGGCAAACAGCCCCAGAGGCUGGAAGAGGAAACACCGUGACCCAGAUACCUCCUGAAAUACCCCUGCCCUAUUCAUGGCUGGUUCCUCUUGCUAGCAGUGCAUUCAUACAAGCCUUUAUCUCUCACUAGUUUCAAUGCCAAUUUCAAAUUGACUUUACAGCUCCAUCCCUGAACACUUGAGUAACAUUUAUCCAUUCCUCCUGAGCAGGCCACCCAUUUGCACUUUCUGUGAACUUCUGUUUUACAUCUGAGCUCAGGCAUGGGUUCCCCAUUCGACCAAGCCAACCUAGUACCUCACCUGCCUGUGUCCAGAAGAAGGUAUUUGUCCAGCUUAAGUAAUCAGGCAUCAAAUGUUAGCCAAGAUAAAAAAGAAAAACUUAAUUCUGGUUGAAAAAAUCUUUAUUUACAUAACACAACAGAUGAAUCACAUCAUGUCCCACCCUUGUCCCCUUAUGUAUAAAAUACUGGUUAAAAGUGUUUUGUUUUUUUCCAGAGACUAGUUAGUUUCCACAAUGCCCUCUCAUGAGAGCAUUCCAUUCAACAGCUGGAACACUUGCUGUUCCACAGAAGUUCACAAGCAAACAGCUCCACUGAAAGAAGCAGUCUUAAGAAAGGAAACGUCAGAGACAGCAGCUGCAGCAGCAACAUGUGACAAGCCACCAGGAUUUCAGCUCUGUCAUUCCAUGGUAGCACGGAUGUUGAUCCUACCUGUACUUUUACUGUGCCACACUAAUGACAGAAGUUUUGAGGGUUUUACAUUAGCCAUCUGAGAUGGCACAGGUGCUCUUGUAAGUCAUUUUGGACUUAAUAUCUAGUACAAAUUUGUUUGAAGUUACACAUCAUCAAAUCCAGUCAUCUAAGUGCUUCCCUUCCAGCCCACAUCCCAACUCCAGAUAGUGAAUAGCAAGGACACUGCAUACAACAGGGAAACUAGCCUACACAGGGAGACUCUAAAAGGACAAAAAUAAACGGACAGAGAAACAUGAAUAAAAAUGUUAGUCUAGUCCCUAAAGAGAGAAAAUCCAGUUCCAUUCAUUUUAUUUUAUUGCUCAUACCACAAGCUGAAAAGAAGAAAAACUGACUAGAGUCCUUACCUUGGUAUAAGACGAUUCCUGCUACGCCAAGUCACAAAUAUAUAAACUUUAAACAAUAAAGUUGUAAAAUCAAGGUGGAGUUGGAUCAGGACAGAAGAUUUGCCAGGGAUCCUUUACAAGGUGCCCAAUUGAUCUAAUAGAAAAUGAUUUAACAAGUGCAUUCUGUGCUAAAAUCUAUCAUGAUGAAUUUCAGAUGUAAAAUAAAUUCAAGGUAAAUUUAGAUUAAAGAUACAGUAAGACACAUGAUCUCUCAUUACCAACUUUCUGAUUCCUUAGUACUUGUGGCUGACAUGCAAAGUGAUUCUGUACAUGGUCUGCUAACAUGUUUUCUUGAGAAAGUGCAACAGAUUGACGAACACAAAGAGCUUUAAACACUUGGGAAACAUCAAACACAUUAAGAACAAAACGGCCAGCCAGAAGGUGUGCAGCACAUAGGAUAUUCAACAACCACUGACACUUUUCUGCUUUCUUCUGCUGAACCCCCUGACAGGAUUGUCUAGACACUGAUGGCAUCUUGGCCUCUUCCACUGUUGUGUCUGCAGGGCAGCAGCUAGUGCUCUGACUACUGACAUUUUACUUGCCCUGGAUUCCAAAUACGAAGCUGACUGGACAGUGACAGCUGAUCAAACUGGGGAGUCUCAUUCUGGGCUUUAAAGUUAUGCCACAGCACAUGGAUCAGUCAAUACUUUAAACAUGCAAACGUAAACAAGCACUGCUGAAGCCUCUUUAACUUGUCCAUAUUAGCUGAAAUUGGAGGAAUGGUAUUAAUAACUGAAAAAAAAAAAGUGCAACUAGCUAUGUAAUUAUAAAAGCAAAACUUACUGGAGCAAAGAAAUGCAGGAUUUGUAAACUGUUAUUAAUUAAAAGACCCAUAACCAUUCCAGACAGAAAAAAAAAAAAUGAACACCCAACAGAAUGCCACAUUAUCUGAACGUGACACUGUCAGACAUUUGGAAAUGCUCCUGACUUGUACACAAAAUGAGAAUGUAUCUGAAGGCUGACUGAAAUGGAUGAUGCUUGAAAUGGAAGGCUGUUUCAAACUUCACGAUGGCCCUUCCAACAGAAUCCCCAGUCUUCAGGGAAAUGAGUACCACAGGAGGCAUUUCUUAACUGUGUACGUUUAAAUGGAUAAAUAUCUACAGUCAAGAAGAUACAAAAUCUAAGCUAUCAUCUCUGUGAGAUGAUUUGUAUGAGAAUGUCCUUCACAGUAAAUUCACAGGUAGAGAGAAUAAUGGAAAUACCCUUCCCAAGGACAAGGGACAUGUUUACCAUCCCAAGGCACUAAGUUAAGGAAACUCUUCUGAUGAUCACACUGCUAUUUUGAAUGUUAAAAAAAAAAAAAAAAGAGCCCAUUCCAGCUCUAUAAACACAAAUAUCACAAGUUUCAAUUUGAACACAGCAAGAACUUGCCUGCUUCACUGAAUUCAAAAAUACCAGCUAUGGAUCAGAAAACCCCAACCAACCACCUCAGAUAAUGAAUACAAUUCACCACAACACGAUGUGCACUAGCACCAAAAACGCUCCCAGUUUUUUGGAGGUUGAAUUUGGUAUUGUGUGCAGUGAGAUGACACUCACUGAUCUCCACCUGACUGGAAGCAGGGAGGAGUACAGCAUUCAGUUUCCACUGGGAAGCAGCAGAACAUAAAAAGAUACCAAAACUUAUUUCAAAUAAGAUGAGAAGCAUUUCAGUCUUAACUGAAGAUUGCUGGGUAAAACCGUAUGGGUAUA